rnacentral:rRNA from 1 species
AGCAGUCGCCGCGGUAACACGGAGGGUGCAAGCGUUAUCCGGAUUUAUUGGGUUUAAAGGGUCCGUAGGCGGACUUAUAAGUCAGUGGUGAAAGCCUGUCGCUUAACGAUAGAACUGCCAUUGAUACUGUAAGUCUUGAGUAUAUUUGAGGUAGCUGGAAUAAGUAGUGUAGCGGUGAAAUGCAUAGAUAUUACUUAGAACACCAAUUGCGAAGGCAGGUUACCAAGAUAUAACUGACGCUGAGGGACGAAAGCGUGGGUAGCGAACAGGAUUAGAUACCCCGGUAGUCCCUGUCUCUUAUAC